GGAGGGUCAAGCCGAUAGGUGACGGCAGCGGUCUUGAAAACCGUCGAGGCGCGGAAGCGCCCUUGAGGGUUCGAUUCCCUCACCCUCCG
rnacentral:sRNA from 2 species